rnacentral:rRNA from 1 species
AUAUUGGACAAUGGACGCAAGUCUGAUCCAGCCAUGCCGCGUGAAGGAUGAAUGCCCUCUGGGUUGUAAACUUCUUUUAUCGGGGAAGAAAGAUACUUUUUUUAAGGUAGUUGGCGGUACCCUAUGAAUAAGCACCGGCUAACUCCGUGCCAGCAGCCGCGGUAAUACGGGGGGUGCAAGCGUUAUCCGGAUUUACUGGGUUUAAAGGGUGCGUAGGCGGGCAUGUAAGUCAGUGGUGAAAUACCGGAGCUUAACUUCGGAACUGCCAUUGAUACUAUAUGUCUUGAAUAUUGUGGAGGUAAGCGGAAUAUGUCAUGUAGCGGUGAAAUGCAUAGAUAUGACAUAGAACACCUAUUGCGGAGGCAGCUUGCUACGCAAAUAUUGACGCUGAGGCACGAAAGCGUGGGGAUCAAACA